GGUGCAUGGUUGUCGUCAGCUCGUGUCGUGAGAUGUUGGGUUAAGUCCCGCAACGAGCGCAACCCUUGUCUUUAGUUGCCAUCAUUAAGUUGGGCACUCUAGAGAGACUGCCAGGGAUAACCUGGAGGAAGGUGGGGAUGACGUCAAAUCAUCAUGCCCCUUAUGCUUAGGGCUACACACGUGCUACAAUGGGUAGUACAGAGGGUUGCCAAGCCGUAAGGUGGAGCUAAUCCCUUAAAGCUACUCUCAGUUCGGAUUGUAGGCUGAAACUCGCCUACAUGAAGCUGGAGUUACUAGUAAUCGCAGAUCAGAAUGCUGCGGUGAAUGCGUUCCCGGGUCUUGUACACACCGCCCGUCACACCACGGGAGUUGGAGACGCCCGAAGCCGAUUAUCUAACCUUUUGGAAGAAGUCGUCGAAGGUGGAAUCAAUAACUGGGGUGAAGUCGUAACAAGGUAGCCGUAUCGGAAGGUGCGGCUGGAUCACCUCCUUU
rnacentral:rRNA from 1 species